UUGAUCGAAAACAAAUUCUUCAAAUGUGGGAUUCGACUGGAGACAGGAGAGUUGAAUUAGCGUUCAAUUAGAUUGAUAUUUAAAAGUUGAAGAAUAAUAAAACAUGUUAAGACAGUGAAAAAGGUUUUCAUAAUAUAUGAAACAUUAUUCGCUAAACUGUUUGAUAGAUCUGUUUUCUUCAUAUUAUAAGGUAGAUCUGUAUUAGUUUAGUAUUUCAAAAAUAAAAAUAUAAAACACAUUCUAUUAUCCAUAUGCAUAUUUUGGCUUGUAUGAGAGAGCUGUGUCUCAUUGUGUGGUUGUAAAUGUUUUCGUUCAAAAACGAUAAUUUCGUUCGGUUAAGGAAAUAUUCUGGGGAUACAUUUUCUGGCGGCCAAGUUAAAUGAGGCGUUCGAACACAAACAUUGCGUCUUGCGUUUUGUUUCGGAGAUCUUCAUUAAAGUUCAAAUUCAACACUAUUGUUGACAAGACCCAGCCCUCAACAGCCAACCCACAUUUCUAGUGCCGCGGGGAAUCGGCAAGGUUGUCUUCUGACAGACCACACACGAUAGUUCCAGAAGCUGUCAAGCAAGUCUUUCUGAACACAAACAUGGAGUUUUUCAUAAAAGCAUUGCUUCGAAUGCCAGUGGCUGCCAUGAGGGAGGGUGCACCAAGUCUUCGACGAUGACAUCAGCCAUGGCCAAAGAACAUUAUGAUGAUUAGUUAACUUGCUAUGUGACUGGUAAUUGUGUUAAUAGUUGCAACUAAUAAGGUUUACAAUUUUAACCUUACCUUAUACACUUUAAAUUAUGGCUUUUAUUGUGCCAUCCUCAAAAUAA